UGUAUCUCUUACAGGAACGGUGAAUAAGGCCUUCCUUUUUAGGAAGUGGAAGGCAAACAGAAGCUGUCUUUUGUUUCAAAGUUCUUUAAAUUCCCCACCCUCUGGUCCUGGUUGACAUCAGCAAGGCUGCCAUGGAAGAAAGGAGAAAGGAGAAGUAACUGGGGCAUGAGAUUUGCCCAUAAGAGGGACAGCAGUGUUAGCCACUCCAUUUUCCUGACUUCCGGCAGCCGUGUUUGCUCGUACUUGGAAAGCCAUCUACCUAGAGCUUCCCUGCCAAGGUCUUUCUCAUCCUUCCUGGACCAACAUCCAUAUUCUCCCUCUCUGGGGAUUUCUUCUAGCCAGGUUCCAGAAACCAGAACCUUCCCACCUCCCACUUAAGAGUAACUAACGGCCUCCUCCGGCUGUGGAAUUAUCCUGAUCACUGACAUGGAAUGAUGUUUCCUUGGCUCCGGCACUUCUCACUUGGUUGUUGCCCCUGCCUGUGUUCGUUCCCCAGGUCAGACCACAAGAUUAAAAGAAUAAGGACAGGAGUAACUGGAGAGGAUCGCUGUGGGCCCAGGAAUCUGAGCUCUGAACUGCACAACAAUCGAAGAGUGAUUAUCCACCGUACAUCUGCUAGAGAAGAAGAUAAUUUCUACCAGUGUUUACUGCCUGUCAGGUUCUGGGCUACCCACGUCUUAUGUGUAUUAUCUCACUGCAUCUUCUCAGUGACUAUAUUUACAGAUAGAAAAAUUGAACUUUAGAAGAGUAAUAUAUGGAACAAGAAUGCAAUUUCACAAUUCAUAAAUGGUGGGGCUUAGAAUCUGUUAUGGACUAGAUUGUGUCCCCACCCCCAAAUUUAUAUGUUGGAGCCCUAACCCUCAAUGUGACUAUAUGCAGAGAUAGAGCCUUUAAGAAGAUAAUUAAGAUUAAAUGAAGCCCUAAUCCAAUGGGACUAGUAUCCUUUUUUUGUUUUAAAGAUUUUACUUUAUUAUUUGAGAGAGAGAGCAAGAGAGUGCUCA